CCUUAUGAACAGUAUACUUCCGCUUUUACUCCCGCUGCCUGACCCGGAUUUUACUCUAUUCACCUGCCACCUGUUGAUAUGCUGAGCUGACAGAUAGUAGAGUUGUUGCAUGCCCUUCUUUCUCCACGCAAAAGAGAGAGCUUAUUUGCCUCGCAAAAAGAGAGGGGGGAGAGAAUUGGGUCUGGUUCGUCGAGGAGAGACACAGUACAACUCACUUUGAUUUAAGAGGUAUUUUGAUUGAUUUCUCAGGUUUGAGCCUUCAUGCAGCUUUGAUGUUUUAAGAUUUGGG